rnacentral:rRNA from 1 species
CACGUAGGCACCAAGCGUUGUCCGGAUUUAUUGGGCGUAAAGGGCUCGUAGGCGGUUUGUCGCGUCGGGAGUGAAAACCUCGGGCUUAACUCGGGGCUUGCUUUCGAUACGGGCAGACUGGAGGUAUGCAGGGGAGAACGGAAUUCCUGGUGUAGCGGUGAAAUGCGCAGAUAUCAGGAGGAACACCGGUGGCGAAGGCGGUUCUCUGGGCAUGACCUGACGCUGAGGAGCGAAAGUGUGGGGAGCGAACAGG